rnacentral:rRNA from 1 species
GAUGAACGCUGGCGGCGUGCCUAAUACAUGCAAGUCGAGCGAACAGACGAGGAGCUUGCUCCUUCGACGUUAGCGGCGGACGGGUGAGUAACACGUAGGUAACCUACCUAUAAGACUGGGAUAACUUCGGGAAACCGGAGCUAAUACCGGAUAAUAUUUCGAACCGCAUGGUUCGAUAGUGAAAGAUGGCUUUGCUAUCACUUAUAGAUGGACCUGCGCCGUAUUAGCUAGUUGGUAAGGUAACGGCUUACCAAGGCAACGAUACGUAGCCGACCUGAGAGGGUGAUCGGCCACACGGGAACUGAGACACGGUCCAGACCCCUACGGGAGGCAGCAGUAGGGAAUCUUCCGCAAUGGGCGAAAGCCUGACGGAGCAACGCCGCGUGAGUGAUGAAGGGCUUCGGAUCGUAAAACUCUGUUAUUAGGGAAGAACAAACGUGUAAGUAACGGUGCACGUCUUGACGGUACCUAAUCAGAAAGCCACGGCUAACUACGU